CGCGUAGCGAACAACCGGUGCAACGCGAAAGAGAGAGUAAUCGCAAUGCGAUAAGAUUUCGAAUCGUAUCGCGAUGCAUUCGAUUCUCGCCAACCAUUGGACGUUCCUUCGCGAGGAACGUGCAAAUACGCGAUUAUCAACGAGGAGGAAGGGCUGGUGGCGAGCGAAGCGAUAUCGUCUCGAGGAGGAUUUUCGAGAAGUCUGCGGAGCAGGAGAAAAUCAUAGUACGAAUGAGUACGCGAACACCUGAUGGAGCUUCUUAAGUCGACACGAAAAGAGAAUAGUCCUCGUCGUCAUAAUACACUCGGGGAAAAAGUGGCGAGAGUCGAGGGUGAGAAGGAAAUCAUCGCAGAAGCAAGAAAAGGGAGAAUCCAUAUCCUCGACCCGACAGAGACAGAUCCUGGUGGUGCCAGAUCUCGAGAUCCGUACCCUGACUCGAGUUGUAAGAUAACGCGCGUCAGAGCUCUCGAAAGGCGCCGAGUUUACUCACGGAAAAUUGCUUUGGCGUGCACCAGCCAGGGAACUAGUAUGUGCAUCCGCUGCACUUACUAUAUAUACUCGUACACGUCUACGAUAUAUCUAGGAAAACAAGGGGAGCUACACGAAAUACCUCUACUUACCGAAUAUUGCGUUCUCGUGACGCCAUAUGAUUUCAAUUGUAAUCAAAUCUUUCGCUAAAAAUAGAUUUGGUAAAUAAUGGUGGUAGAUAUAUCACAGAGGAAUACCGCGUGGAUACGCACAUACGUAAGUAAACGCGAUGCAUGGAAACAGACGAAGUAUUAAUUUCCUGCUUCGUGCGAUCUGCUUAUUCGCCAUCCUUGUUCCUACGUUAGCGCUAUCGCGCUAUCCCUUCAACGUAUUACAUGUGAAGUAACGUAGCGUAACGCGUUAAUGCCACGAGAGGAACUCGUGUGUCUUCAAAUUCCAAAAGGUGGAUUAACGUGUACAUCCACUCGAGAUCUCGAGGAUAGUGCCGCUUGACCUCGGCGCUAACGCUUCGGUUAACGUUCAUUCAACGCGAAAUGCAAACAAGUCGUUUUUCUGCCUUUUCUCCUCAACAAUUGUUUACCUUUUCGUUCUUUUCACAUUUUUCCUCUUUUCUUGCUUAAUUACAGAUUAUUCAUUUCUCGAUUUUUUACGAGGAAUUGCGUAAGAACGAAACAUGUAUCGAUCCGAUACAAUAUUUUAGAAAUUAUUUAAAUAUCUGGAAAAAUUUAAUUCAACGCAUUUUUAAU